rnacentral:rRNA from 1 species
AUACGAAGGGUGCAAGCGUUAAUCGGAAUUACUGGGCGUAAAGCGCGCGUAGGUGGUUUUGUAAGUUGGAGGUGAAAGCCCCGGGCUCAACCUGGGAAUUGCCUCCAAAACUGCAUGACUAGAGUACGGUAGAGGGUAGUGGAAUUUCCUGUGUAGCGGUGAAAUGCGUAGAUAUAGGAAGGAACACCAGUGGCGAAGGCGACUACCUGGACUGAUACUGACACUGAGGUGCGAAAGCGUGGGGAGCAAACAGGAUUAGAUCCCCUGUUAGUCCACGCCGUAAACGAUGUCAACUAGCCGUUGGGAUCCUUGAGAUCUUAGUGGCGCAGCUAACGCAUUAAGUCGACCGCCUGGGGAGUACGGCCGCAAGGUUAAAACUCAAAUGAAUUGAUGGGG